rnacentral:rRNA from 1 species
UACGUAGGGGGCAAGCGUUGUCCGGAUUUAUUGGGCGUAAAGAGCGUGUAGGCGCCGCACAGGUCCGUUGUGAAAACUGGAGGCUUAACCUUCAGACGUCGAUGGAAACCGUGCGGCUAGAGUCCGGAAGAGGAGAAUGGAAUUCCUGGUGUAGCGGUGAAAUGCGCAGAUAUCUGAGGAAGAACCGAGCCCGUAGGGCGUAAGG